AUUGAACGCUGGCGGCAUGCCUUACACAUGCAAGUCGAACGGUAACGGGCCUUCGGGUGCCGACGAGUGGCGAACGGGUGAGUAAUGUAUCGGAACGUACCAUUGAGUGGGGGAUAACGUAGCGAAAGUUACGCUAAUACCGCAUAUUCUCUCCGGAGGAAAGCAGGGGACCGCAAGGCCUUGCGCUCUUUGAGCGGCCGAUAUCAGAUUAGCUAGUUGGUGGGGUAAAAGCUCACCAAGGCGACGAUCUGUAGCGGGUCUGAGAGGAUGAUCCGCCACACUGGAACUGAGACACGGUCCAGACUCCUACGGGAGGCAGCAGUGGGGAAUUUUGGACAAUGGGCGCAAGCCUGAUCCAGCAAUGCCGCGUGCAGGAAGAAGGCCUUCGGGUUGUAAACUGCUUUUGUACGGAACGAAAAGGCUCUGGUUAAUACCCGGGGCUCAUGACGGUACCGUAAGAAUAAGCACCGGCUAACUACGUGCCAGCAGCCGCCGUAAGAC
rnacentral:rRNA from 1 species